AAUAUUGGACAAUGGGCGCAAGCCUGAUCCAGCCAUACCGCGUGGGUGAAGAAGGCCUUCGGGUUGUAAAGCCCUUUUGUUGGGAAAGAAAAGCAGUCGGCUAAUACCCGGUUGUUCUGACGGUACCCAAAGAAUAAGCACCGGCUAACUUCGUGCCAGCAGCCGCGGUAAUACGAAGGGUGCAAGCGUUACUCGGAAUUACUGGGCGUAAAGCGUGCGUAGGUGGUUGUUUAAGUCUGUUGUGAAAGCCCUGGGCUCAACCUGGGAAUUGCAGUGGAUACUGGGCGACUAGAGUGUGGUAGAGGGUAGUGGAAUUCCCGGUGUAGCAGUGAAAUGCGUAGAGAUCGGGAGGAACAUCCAUGGCGAAGGCAGCUACCUGGACCAACACUGACACUGAGGCACGAAAGCGUGGGGAGCAAACAGGAUUAGAUACCCUGGUAGUCCACGCCCUAAACGAUGCGAACUGGAUGUUGGGUGCAAUUUGGCACGCAGUAUCGAAGCUAACGCGUUAAGUUCGCCGCCUGGGGAGUACGGUCGCAAGACUGAAACUCAAAGGAAUUGACGGGGGCCCGCACAAGCGGUGGAGUAUGUGGUUUAAUUCGAUGCAACGCGAAGAACCUUACCUGGUCUUGACAUGU
rnacentral:rRNA from 1 species